rnacentral:rRNA from 1 species
UUGGAGGAAUGUAUAGCGAAAGCUAAUUGUAUUAACCAACAGUUGAUGCAAUAUCGACUAUGUCGACUAAAAUUCUAGGUAGAGUAAUGAUAAUGACAUUUUUUACCUAUAGGUCUUGACCAAAUCACGUGCCAGCAGUCGCGGUAAUACGUGGAAGACUAGUGUUAUUCAUAUUUAAUAGGUUUAAAGGGUACCUAGACGGUAUAUCUAGCCCAAAAAGGGUACUGGUAAACUAGAGUUUAAUGUGAGGGGGGGAGUACUAAUGGAGUAGAGAUGAAAUUCUGUCAUACCAAGAGGUAACAGGUAUCGGCGAAAGCAACCCUUUAUGCAAAAACUGACGUUGAGGGACGAAGGCCUCGGUCACAAACAGGAUUAGAUACCCUAGUAGUCUGGGCAGACAACGCUGAAUGCCAUAGAUUAGAUUGUAUUUCUUCUAUAAAUGAAAGUGUAAGCAUUCCACCUCAAGAGUAAUUUGGCGACAUUGAAACUGAAAUCAUUAGACCGUUUCUGAAACCAGUAGUGAAGUAUGUUGUUUAAUUUGUUGGCCCUCAAAAAACCUUACCACAAUUUGAAUAUUUUUAUAUUUCUUAUAAUUAUACAGGAGUUGCACGGCUGUCUUCAGUUAAUGUCGUGAGAAUUUGGUUAGUUCCAAAAAAUUAACGUAAACCCUUACUUUAUUUUUUUUUAUAAAGUUGUUCACCGCUAUAUUGGAUAUGAUAAAAGGGACUAAGACAAGUCAUCAUGGCCUAAAUAUUGUGG